rnacentral:rRNA from 1 species
AACGAACGCUGGCGGCAUGCCUAACACAUGCAAGUCGAACGAGACCUUCGGGUCGAGUGGCGCACGGGUGCGUAACGCGGGGUAACCUGCCCUUAGGUUCGGAAUAACUCCCCGUAAGGGGUGCUAAUACCGGCUAAUGUCUCCGGACCAAAGAUUUAUCGCCUUUGGAUGGGCCCGGGUUGGAUUAGCUAGUUGGUAGGGUAAAAGCCUACCAAGGCGACGAUCCAUAGCUGGUCUGAGAGGAUGAUCAGCCACACUGGGACUGAGAAGCGGCCCAGACUCCUACGCGAGGCAGCAGUGGGGAAUAUUGGACAAUGGGCGAAAGCCUGAUCCAGCAAUGCCGCGUGAGUGAUGAAGGCCUUAGGGUUGUAAAGCUCUUUUACACGGGAUGAUAAUGACAGUACCGGAAGAAUAAGCUCCGGCUAACUCCGUG